rnacentral:lncRNA from 1 species
UGGAUAUCAAAGGGAACUGAGAUCAGAAAAAGGAACCCUCCCUCCCACCCGCAAAAAAAAAAAAAAAAAAGCUCAAAGCAAGAGAGAGGACAGGAAGGAGAGGAUGGGAUGCUGCAAGCAGCUUGGAGGUCAGCUUUUAAAUCUGGGCUGGUCCCAGCAACGGCGCCCCUCAUAGCUCAGUUGGUAAAGAAUCUGCCUGCAAUGCAGGAGACUCCGGUUGGAUUCCUAUGUCAGGAAGAUCCCCUGGGGAAGGGAUAGGUCACCCACUCCAGGAUUCUGACCUGAAGAGUUCAAUGGACUGUAUAGUUCAUGGGGUCGCAAACAGUCGGACACGACUGAGUGAACUUCACUUUCUUUUUCUUUACUCCUAGCAGGGGAAAAGGGAAGAACUCUGGGGCAGGGUGGGGACAGCCCACGGAGAACCUUUCAGGGCCCUGGGGACUGUUAGAAGUGCGCGCAGUAGGCAAGAGUUUCGAAGCUUGAACUAACUUGCUGCGGGGGGAGGCGCCGCGAGCCGCAGCCAUUUAGGUUUCAGGUCUUUCCAGCGCCCUUACGGGUAGCUGGUUUGGGGAAGGGGAGGGGAAGGGAGGGCAGGUCCAGAGCAAAGUGGGUGGAGUGGAGGGGGCAGACUGAAGGAAAUGAGACAACCUUUUCCUCCCACAGAAUCGUGGUCCUCCUGCGUCUGCUGGGGUUACCACCGCCGCCCGUGAUCGCCCAGGCCGGGACCCCGUGCCCACAGGUCUCCACUGGGGUUUCUUUCCGAAUCGCCAGUGCCAGCCCAAACCUUGGCCACAGCUUUGUUGCGUCCUCCUCUUAGUGAUCGGCUCCUGGUCCCCGGCUCCGCCCCCAGCACCCGGAGCCAGGACCCCGGAAGUGCGCGUUGGCUGCUCGGGCGAAGAAGAGAAGAGAGGGAGGGUGGCCACCUUGAUCCAGCUAAAGCAUCUCCAGGAGGCCUUCUCUGGAUGUCACAUCGAGGCUGCCCUUCUGCCACAACACGGAACUGGUGAUCCCCGAGUGCAUGGACAUGGCUUUGCUCAGCAAUAUCCUAGCGGCCUAUUCCUUUGUCUCAGGAAGCUGGCUGACUUUCUCAAGAUCAUUUCCUGAGAACAGGUGCUGUACAUAUAAAAGGAGUCAUUUAAAAAUACAUGAAAAUAUACCUCAAUAAAGCUGGAAAAUUUUUAAAAUGCA